UUCGGAUGCUUGACAACAACUCUUGAAAACAAUCGAAACAACACGUGCAGACAAGUAUAAUUUAUGCAUAUGGAAGCUCAGUUACAAACUUACAUAACCACGUAACAGCACACAUUUCAGCCCACAAACAAACCAAACUGACAAACGCUGUGAUAAAGCGCAGGAAUAGAAGUUGUCACGCGACUCGCCUAAUAAAGAAGAGUUACACUCAGCCAACAGAAGCACGUGGACAGACAUUCACUGUAAUGAUGGACAUCUGCUUAUGCACAGAAUAAGAGGUGUCUUGUUGGUUGUAAACUCAUCCAGCUAAAAGCAGAGCUCUGGGACGUGUGGACAGACAUCGCCUGUAACGAUGGACAUCUGCUAAUGGCCAGUCUGUCCAAAAGUAUAACCGCUGCGGGUCACAGUGCCGGAAGCUCCAGGGGGAGACCAUACCGGUAUCCCCCUUCUCUGGGCGCGCCUUCACACACACACACUCCACCAUUCACUCAUAUCACAGAGACCUGGCUGGGAUUGAACCAGCAACCUCUGAACCCAUGAGGCAGUACUCUUACCUGUGAGCCACAGGUCUCUUGUUGGAAUAAAGGAAGGAACUUAUAUUUGACUGUGAUUUCCCAAUAAAGAAGUUAAAUCAAGCUGGUUACAUGAUUUUUAGAGGUGGGAUUUGAACCCAUGUCUCCAGCACAAUCUCAUCCUCAAAGAACAUGUGUUUAUCCACUCACCCACCAUGGAUUCCCCUUAGUUUUUUUUUUGGCAUGAGUAAUCAGUAUAGGGAUUUGAACCCAGAGCUCCCAGAUUGAAACACAAUGCUUUAUCUCCAGAGCCACUGAGUCUGUGGAGUGAAGGUUUGUCUCAAGCUCAACCUCAGAGAAUGUGUGUUUAUUGACUUACCCACCAUGUAUUCCUCGUUGUGUUCUGGCAUUUGAGUGAGUUUUUUUGUUUGAGAUCAAUGUCAAGUAAGCAGUAGUGGGGUUUGAGUCCACUUAUCCCAGAUUAAACAGUGCUUUAUCAACUGAGCCACUGAAGCUAUAAACUCUGAUUUUUCAUCUCAAUCACAGCCUUAACUCAAAUACAGUGUUUAACCACUGAGGAUUUCCCAGAAGACUUGUCCAUUUAGAGAGCGUCAUUCAAUUUAAUAACAAUUUUAAAGUUAACAAUUGUGGGAUUUGAACUCCGGUCUCCUAGACGAAAAUUUGUUUCCUAACCCACUGAGUCUUGUGAGAUAAAAGAUCUUUUGAGCAGAUUUUUUUGAGUGUUGUGCAUGAUAUGAAGAAAAGCAUUAUCUCAAAUGACUGGUGUUUAACCACUAUAGCAUUCACAACAGCAACAUCCAUUCAGAGAGCUUCAUUUGAUUUAAUGAAAACAGUUUAAAGUAAACCCUUGUGGGAUCUCCCAGACAGAAAUAUAAAACAUCUUCCUCUGAGCCAUUGAAUCUGGGAGUUUGAUAAGUAUUUUGGACAAGGUUUUAGUGAGAGCUUUGUUUAAAAUAAUGAAAAGCCUUAACAAGUGUGGGAUUUGAACCCAAGUCCUAAUUAUAACCGUAUCUAAAUAGCAUACCUAACCACUAAAUCACUGUGCUCUCAACAUGCAACAGGAACAUUUCGAAUACCUUGUAAAAUUUAACAUAAGCAGUAGUGGGAGUUGAACUCAGAACACCAAGAUUAAAAAAAAGCUUUAUCAACAUAUUAAAGUCAAAGUUAUCCUC